CCUACGGGUGGCUGCAGUGGGGAAUAUUGGGCAAUGGGCGAAAGCCUGACCCAGCGACGCCGCGUGGGCGAUGAAGGCCUUCGGGUUGUAAAGCCCUGUCAUGCGGAAAGAACGACCCUGUGACGCAUACUCACAGGGAGUGACGGUACCGCAGGAGGAAGCACCGGCUAACUCCGUGCCAGCAGCCGCGGUAAUACGGAGGGUGCAAGCGGGGGUCGAGGGUAUUUAGCCGAAAAUGCAAGUCGGCUGUGAAAUACUCCGGCUCAACUGGGGAACUGCAUCUGAAACUGCAUAACUAGAGUACAGAAGAGGGAAACGGAAUUCCCGGUGUAGAGGUGAAAUUCGUAGAUAUCGGGAGGAACACCAGUGGCGAAGGCGGUUUCCUGGUCUGAUACUGACGCUGAGGCGCGAAAGUGUGGGGAGCAAACAGGAUUAGAUACCCCGGUAGUC
rnacentral:rRNA from 1 species